GGUCAGGUAGCCUAGCGGAUGAGGCAGCCCAUGCGUGUUGGGUCCAUGGUUGCGGGUUCGAAUCCAGCCUCGACCA